CACCUCCUGAAGCACUGCAACCAUUCCGAGUUGCUGCAGGCAGAGCUUCCCAUGCCCUCGGCUUGGACAGGGGCGGAGAGGGAUGGAGCUGCCGAGCCUGGAAGGGGGACCCUGCUGCAGCCCCCCCAGGCCCAGGGGAGGGCGGUGAAGAACCCCAUAAGCAGCAGAUGUUGCUCCAGCUGCAGAACAAGAGCCACAGUUAUAGAGUUCCUCAUUGGUAGGAAGCCUCAUGAAUCUCUCCAAGUCGUGAACCAAGCAUCCUGAAGAAAGCCAGAGGAGACACCAGAACCUCCAUGAAACGAGCAGGAGGAAAAUUUGAAGUUUAACUGGAGGCAGUAUUGUUAUAAUUACUACAUGUUGUGUUAUGAUUAAUGGGGUAGAUUCCUUUGGGAGAGGCAGCUUCUGGAACAACAGGCAGCCAAAUGAUGCUGAGCUAUUUCCUUGAGUGAACCUUGUGGAAAUGAGAUGCUUAUGUAUGACUAAAUAUCAGCCCAGAUUGGGAAUAAUGUGAUGGCUAAAUAAACAGCUAAUUUAAGCACCGU